rnacentral:rRNA from 1 species
GCUACGGAGGUGCCAGCAGACGCGGGAGUACGUAGGGCGCAAGGGGUGUCCGGAAUUAUGGGGCGUAAAGAGCGCGUAGGCGGUCUGUUGCGUCCGCUGUGAAAACUCGGGGGUUAACCCCGAGCCUGCAGUGGAUACGGGCAGACUAGAGGUAGGUAGGGGAGAAUGGAAUUCCCGGUGUAGCGGUGAAAUGCGCAGAUAUCGGGAGGAACACCGGUGGCGAAGGCGGUUCUCUGGGCCUUACCUGACGCUGAGGAGCGAAAGCGUGGGGAGCGAACAGGAUUAGAUACCCCGGUAGUC